UCUGUCAAGUCGGAUGUGAAAUCCCCGGGCUCAACCUGGGAACUGCAUUCGAAACUGGCAGGCUAGAGUCUUGUAGAGGGGGGUAGAAUUCCAGGUGUAGCGGUGAAAUGCGUAGAGAUCUGGAGGAAUACCGGUGGCGAAGGCGGCCCCCUGGACAAAGACUGACGCUCAGGUGCGAAAGCGUGGGGAGCAAACAGGAUUAGAUACCCUGGUAGUCCACGCCGUAAACGAUGUCGAUUUGGAGGUUGUGCCCUUGAGGCGUGGCUUCCGGAGCUAACGCGUUAAAUCGACCGCCUGGGGAGUACGGCCGCAAGGUUAAAACUCAAAUGAAUUGACGGGGGCCCGCACAAGCGGUGGAGCAUGUGGUUUAAUUCGAU
rnacentral:rRNA from 1 species